rnacentral:rRNA from 1 species
AACGAACGUUAGCGGCGCGCUUAACACAUGCAAGUCGAACGAGAAAGGGCUUCGGCCCCGGUAAAGUGGCGCACGGGUGAGUAACACGUGGGUAAUCUUCCCUUGAGCGGGGGAUAACAUUCCGAAAGGAGUGCUAAUACCGCAUAAGACCACGGCUCCGAAAGGAGCUGCGGUUAAAGCAGGCCUCUUCAUGAAAGCUUGCACUCGAGGAUGAGCCCGCGGCCCAUCAGCUAGUUGGAGGGUAAUGGCCUACCAAGGCAAAGACGGUAGCUGGUCUGAGAGGAUGAUCAGCCACACUGGAACUGAGACACGGUCCAGACUCCUACGGGAGGCAGCAGUGGGGGAAUCUUGCGCAAUGGGCGAAAGCCUGACGCAGCGACGCCGCGUGAGUGAUGAAGGCCU